rnacentral:rRNA from 2 species
AUUUUCCGGUUGAUCCUGCCGGAGGUUACUGCUAUCGAGGUUCGACUAAGCCAUGCGAGUCGAAUGUAGCAAUACAUGGCGUACUGCUCAGUAACACGUGGACAACCUGCCCUUAGGUUGGGUAUAAACCCGGGAAACUGGGUAUAAUCCCCUAUAAGUCUCGGCUGCUGGAAUGCACCGAGAUUAAAAGCUCCGGCGCCUAAGGAUGGGUCUGCGGCCUAUCAGGUAGUAGUGGGUGUAGCGUACCUACUAGCCUACGACGGGUACGGGUUGUGAGAGCAAGAGCCCGGAGAUGGAUUCUGAGACACGAAUCCAGGCCCUACGGGGUGCAGCAGGCGCGAAAACUUUACAAUGCUGGCAACAGCGAUAAGGGAACCUCGAGUGCCAGGUUACAAAUCUGGCUGUCGAGAUGCCUAAAAAGCAUUUCAUAGCAAGGGCCGGGCAAGACCGGUGCCAGCCGCCGCGGUAACACCGGCGGCUCGAGUGGUAACCGUUAUUAUUGGGUCUAAAGGGUCUGUAGCCGGCCGGAUAAGUCUCUUGAGAAAUCUGGCAGCUUAACUGUCAGGCUUUCAGGAGAUACUGUCUGGCUCGAGGCCGGGAGAGGUGAGAGGUACUUCAGGGGUAGGGGUGAAAUCUUGUAAUCCUUGAAGGACCACCAGUGGCGAAGGCGUCUCACCAGAACGGACCUGACGGCAAGGGACGAAAGCUAGGGGCACGAACCGGAUUAGAUACCCGGGUAGUCCUAGCCGUAAACGAUACUCGCUAGGUGUCGGCCACGGUGCGACCGUUGUCGGUGCCGUAGGGAAGCCGUGAAGCGAGCCACCUGGGAAGUACGGCCGCAAGGCUGAAACUUAAAGGAAUUGGCGGGGGAGCACCACAACGGGUGGAGCUUGCGGUUUAAUUGGAUUCAACGCCGGGAAU